UUUCUUUUCUAUUCUUCUUCUUUCUCUUUCCUCUUCUUCUUCCUCUUCUUCCUCUCUUUCCUCUGUUCUUCACGCUCGUAUUACUGUGAGAGAUUUGUGAGUUGUUAGUGAGAUUUGAUUGAUAAGAAUCGACUGAUGAAGAUGUAUAUAUUAUAGAGGAGUCGAGGUUGUUGCUGAUGAAGAGGAAAAGAUGAUUCAGUGAACUAAGUUAGGGUUUUCUGUGAUUAUGAAUUGGGGUUUCGAAUUGGUGAUGAUUAAGAUGAAAUUGAAGAUGGGUUUGUUCUCAAUUAGUGUUUGAUGGAAGUUGUCGUGUUGUUCUGAAGCUGAUUUGAAGAUUGGAUUUACAGAGAUGCAUUUGAUUCGAGAAAUUGAUAAUUAGGGUUUGUAAGAAGAACUCAAAGAAUGAUUGGAAGAUGAAAUCAGAGUCGCAAGUGACUCAUUAUAGAUGAGUCUGUCAUGAAAUAGGGGAUAUGGUGGAAGAAUCAGUAGAAUCAGAAAUUAGGGUUCUUAGCAUAUUUGGGAAUUACGGUUCCUGUUUUUGAUUGAAGAUGAACUGGUUAGCAAUAGGAGAUGCAUUCCAAGUUUUAAUGGAUAUCAGCUGAGACGAACUGAAGGGAUGACUGGUGUUCUUGAUGUGGAUUGCCGAACCAAUUCAAAGGUAGUGGUAUUCUUAAAUUAAUUUAGUAAAGUUGUUCAUCUUCUUAGAUUAAGUAUAUGUGAAUGGUAAUGAAUAUGGAUUGUGUUGAGCUGUCUUGAGUGGUGUUGACGAGAAUUGAUUUGGAAACAACUCUUGGUUGGUUAUUGUAAACUCAGGAAGUUUGGGGCUGACCUUCAUGUAACUGGUAAGGGAGUAGAUCAGUUAUGUAAUUAUUAUGUGUUGAUGAAGUGGCGAAAUUGAGAAUAACGGUGUUUAGUGGAAUUGAUGCAUGAUCUUAACUGAAGUUGCUUGGUAGUAAUUGUACAAGGAUUAUGAUACGACCACUGGUGCAGGUAGUAUGUGCAAGAUACGGGUUUGUAUAAUUGAAAUUGAAGGUUGAGCUGGAUUGUUGUUGAAUUGAGCUGUAGAUGCAGUAAUUGAACUUCUAGAACUGGUGGAAUAUGAGUUAUUGAUUUAGGAGAAGGUUUAGGAAGAUGGCGGUGUUGUUGUUGAAGGAUGGUACUGUGUUUAGUCUCAACUGAGGUUUGCAGGGAAGAUAUGAAUAUGAAUGUUGUAAAUGAAUGUUUAGAUUGUUGCUGGAAAUUGGGGUUGUAUGUUAUAAUGGUUUAGAUGAUGUUGUUUCAUGGAAUUAAGAUAUUGCUGAGAUGAGUUUAUUUGUGGUGGUGAUGAUGUUGAUGUUACAGGGGAGGAGAUAUGUAUUAGUGGUGGUUUUGUAAUCUCAAUUCUGUAUUGAAGAAUGGUGGUGAUAUAUGUGUAGUUGUUAUUGUUGAACUGGAAUUGCAAGAAUGUGAAGUAGAGGUGUUGCUGGUGCUGAGAUGGAGUUGCAGGUGAUGUUGGUUUGAUAGGUACAGGGUCUUGGAGAUGUUAAGGAAGUUGAAUUGCAGGGAAUGGUUGAUUGGAAAGUUAAGUUAGUUUUACAGUUGGGAAUGUUUGGUUGCUCAAGAAGUAAGCUGAACUUAGUAGUAGGAAUAUAAUGGAGCUAAUCCAGACCUGAUGUGUGUAGUUAGUAAUGAUGGUUGUAGGGAAUGGCUAAUAGCUCCAGUGGAGGCUUGCUACUGCAAUUGCAGUUAGUCUAUAUUAACAACGAU